GACAGAGGGUGCAAACGUUGUUCGGAAUUACUGGGCGUAAAGCGCGUGUAGGCGGCCCAGCAAGUCGGAUGUGAAAGCCCUGGGCUUAACCUAGGAAGUGCAUUCGAAACUGCUGGGCUUGAGUUCUGGAGAGGAAGGCGGAAUUCUCGGUGUAGAGGUGAAAUUCGUAGAUAUCGAGAGGAACACCGGUGGCGAAGGCGGCCUUCUGGACAGUGACGUAGAC
rnacentral:rRNA from 1 species